GCAUUAAACACCCUCACAUCUCUUACAGAUUUGCUAAUUCAUAAUUGCCCAAAACUCCUAUCAUUCCCAGAGACAGGUUUGCCGCCUAUGCUAAGACGUCUUGGGGUGAGAAAUUGCAGGGUUCUGGAGACACUGCCUGAUGGAAUGAUGAUGAAAAGUUGUAUACUUGAGUACGUGGAAAUUAAAGAGUGUCCAUCUUUUAUUGAAGUUGACGAUUGAAGAUUGUUGGAGACUAGAGUCUCUGCUUGAGGGAAUUGACAGCAACAACACUUGUCGACUUGAAUGGCUACAUGUAUGGGGAUGUCCAUCUCUCAAGUCCAUUCCAAGAGGCUACUUUCCCUCCACACUUGAGAUACUUUCCAUUUGGGACUGCGAGCAAUUGGAGUCGAUUCCAGGGAAUCUGCUGCAAAAUCUCACAUCUCUUCGACUUCUGAACAUAUGUAAUUGUCCAGAUGUGGUGUCCUCUCCAGAAGCGUUUUUGAACCCCAACCUUAAACAACUUUCUAUUUCAGAUUGUAAGAAUAUGAGGUGGUCUCCAUCUGGGUGGGGCCUCGACACACUCACCUCUCUUGGUGAGCUAUUUAUUCAAGGCCCAUUCCGAGAUCUGCUUUCUUUUUCUGGCUCUCACCUUCUUCUUCCUACAUCUCUCACCACUCUCCGGUUGGGAAACCUCCGCAAUUUGAAAUCCAUAGCCUCCACGUGUCUACAAAGCCUCAUCUCUCUUAAAACCCUUGAAUUCCACAUUUGCCCUAAGCUCCGGUCCUUUGUGCCAAAUGAAGGGCUGCCAGCAGCACUUGCAAGACUUUUAAUCAGGGAAUGUCCCUUUCUAAAAGAGAGGUGCCUCAAGGACAAAGGAAAAUAUUGGCCUAAGAUUGCCCACGUCCCCUACGUGCAAAUAGAUGGCAUUGUGCAACAAUUAAAAAGCAAAUAACAACUACAAUCAGGGGUUUGCCAUGGUCAACAAUAAGCUACGAUGUUUUGUGCUCAAAACCUUGACUCUCAUGAAUGUGUACCCUUAGCUUUUUCCUUGCUUUUCGGAUGACAGGCCUUCCUACCGCAGUUUAAUAACUGGGUAUUUGGCACUGCCCUCUUCCAAAAUAGAGGAUUGCAGGAAAAGGGAUUGAUGUAGAGAUGAAAGUAAAAUUCCCUGCCAUUUGUA